GUAUAUAUAUGUAUAUAUGUGUAUAUAUGUAUAUGUGUGUAUAUAUACAUUCCUUGACUUAAAUAUAGUAGUAUUUAUGAACUUCGACUUACAGUUAUUUUCCUCGGCCCGUUGCUGAAGUCAGUGAAGCGCACACACACAAUAACUACACAACCACCAUGACAUGCAUAGGAAACGCAAAGGAGAUUGGAAUCACAUCUGCCUCAGCAUUGUGAUCGAUGCACCUCUGUGGUCACACGUGCCCAAACUACAGUUACAGUCCUUCAGCUACCAACCCCUCAUUACAGGGUGAGCAUUUAAAAUGCGUCUCUGGACAUGUUAACAGGGUUCAACGAAGGUCUAAACUUUAACCAAUGACAAGAGCACAGAAAGUGUCCCAUGAGAGUUUUAGUAUUGAGGUGAAUGAGCUCUGCGUGUUUGUCCUGAUGAAGAUAAAUAAUGUGUGAGCUCUCCCAGCAGGUUGUUGUGGAGGUGUGAAGGUGUGAACUCUGCUAUGAAUCAGGGUGAGGACCCAGAGGAGGGAGUCCCUCCCUCUGAAGGCCCUCUGUGUGGGGAACAUGACAGCCAGACCAAAGCUCAGAGGAUCCAUCAGAGACCAGGACCUGGACCCGCAUCUGGAUAUGAACCUGAUCCUGGACCUGGUCCUGAACCCAGCUGUGUGUCCAUGAAGAGUAACCGGUCUAAAGAUUUUCCCAUCAACUUCAAACUUGGCCGCCCCUCUGUUGAUGCAAGUUCACAUCAGCAGAGAGGAAAGUCUCCUGAACCCAGAUGUGUGUCCAUGAAGAGUAAUCGGUCUAAACGAUUUCCCAUAAACUUCAAAGAUGGAUGCCGUUCUUAUGACCCAGAGUAAGUUCUUAAGCAGAGGAAACAGAUGAAGAAUAAUUCUGAUGCUUAGUUAUGAAUUACAGAAAUGGUAGUGCAUCGUUUAAAGUGUUGCUUUCAUGACGAACAAUCAUGAGAGAACUCGUUAUCUUUAUCUAACUGGUCUGUAUGUAUUGACAGAGGUGUCAAAAGUAUUCACAUUCAUUACUCAAGUAGAAGUACAGAUACUAGGGUUUAAAAAGACUCCUCUAGAAGUUGAAGUACCAACUCAAGCUUUUUACUUAAGUAAAAGUAUAGAAGUACUGGUUUCAAAACUACUUAAAGUAUAAAAGUAAAAGUGAUGUAAGAAAUUCCAUUAAGGACAAACUCUUAACGCGUAACGUCGCUCACACAACACGUCAGUCCGUUACAAUGUGAUCAGAAGGCGCCUGCAGAUCACGUGACCUGCCGUUGGGAUGGUGGAAACAACAACAACAACAGCAACAACAAAUGUAUCUGACUUAAACAGAUAAAACCACAACCCGUUUUCCAGUGACACGAGUCACACACACGUUGUUCACAUUGAUGAGGUAGACUGCAGUGUCUCCCCGAGGUUCACUACGUCAUGGGGGGGCACCCCUGUUUAUAAUGAUGGAAACACUGAACUGGCAGCGGUCGGUUAUCAAAACAUGGGCCAAAUAACCAGAAUGUUCAGGCUUCAAGAGGAAAUACAGAAUCCCUUUGUGUUCAUUUCCAAAGCCGCAUUAAGACACACAUCACUUUAUUUAAUACGCUGCUUGCAAGUCGCUGUGUUGUGCCAGACUCUCAAUAAAACAUUUAGGACAAACCCACGGUCAUGAAGACACUCAUCUAACGUCACAUGGACUCUGCGUGAGGAAGAGGAGGAGGAAGAGGAGGAGGCUCCAUGUCGCGAAAAUACCAACUUUCCAAAGACCACUUUUCCCACCCGGUGUCGCUCCGAUCUGCCGGCGCAUCGCGGAGAAAACCAAUCGGGUGUCUGGAUGCUAAAUGUUUAUAAUCUCAUCCAAUCACAAUCAAAUGCACUCUGGCCGCAUAGCGACAUUUAUCUAGAUGGGUUCUGUUUGUGUUUGUGUUGUUGAACUACGACAAGUCGAAAGUAACGAGACAGAGUUUUUAAAAUGUAAGGGGUAGAAGUAAAAAGUCCUCUGUAAAAUAAAUACUCCAGUAAAGUAUAGAUACGCAAAAUUUCUACUUAAGUACAGUAACGAAGUAUUACACCUCUGUGUAUUCAAGGGUGAAUCAUUAACCUUAAAACCUUCUCAGAUGUAAACCCAAUGUGAGCUAGUUCCUCCACAUCAGGAUCAGGACCAGCUGACGCAGUCUCUGGACUCCAUGCAGAGGUUUGGAGACCUUUUCACAGAGUCAGCAGACUCUGUUUCAGAGGAUCUAGGAGACUAGAGGUCAGGGGACGGUCAGGGGACGUUCAACUCAACUAAUAAACUGUCCGUCCAGUCUUCAGCGUCUGGUUUUCAUAAUGAUCAAUCAUGACAGAAGCCAAUAUCUUUAACUAACUGUUGUAUUGGUGCUGAUGGUACAAACACCAUGUGAGCUGAUGGUUCAUGUUCCUCCACAGAGAGGACCAGGAGAGCUCAGAGGUCCCCACAGGUCCGUCUGCCCAGCAGCAUCAAACACAUCUGGACUCCAUCUUCAUGGUGUGUACAUGUACAACUACUUUAACAUCUCUCAGUUCACCAUCAAAUCCAUGCUGCACUUUGUAGACCAGUGGAUUGUCAAUCUGUCCAACAUGGACCUGAUGGUGGCUUCCAUGUUAUAGUUUGUGUCAUUCAUAGAAUAUUCUG
ensembl:lncRNA